UACGUAGGUGGCAAGCGUUAUCCGGAAUGAUUGGGCGUAAAGGGUGCGUAGGCGGCAAAAUAAGUCUGAAGUAAAAGGCGUUGGCUCAACCAACGUAAGCUUUGGAAACUGUUAAGCUAGCGUGCAGGAGAGGUUAGUGGAAUUCCAUGUGUAGCGGUAAAAUGCGUAGAUAUAUGGAGGAACACCAGUGGCGAAGGCGGCUAACUGGCCUGUAACGGACGCUGAGGCACGAAAGCGUGGGGAGCAAA
rnacentral:rRNA from 1 species